GCUUGUUUUGGCAGACAUAUACUAAGACUGGAACGAUACAGAGAAGAUUAGCAUAGCUCCUGCACAAGCAUGACAUGUAAAUUUGUGAAGCAUUCCAUAUUUAC
ensembl:snRNA U6 U6 spliceosomal RNA